UUUCCGUAGGUGAACCUGCGGAAGGAUCAUUAUCAUACAGAGUGUGAGGGGCAUUCUAGAGCUGUCGCUGACCCAAAAGUCGUGCACGCCCGAGUGUGUCCUCUUGCAUAGUAAUCCAUCUCACCCUUUAUUCAUCACCGCGUGUUCACCCGUCGAGAUCAUCUCGUAAAAGAGCUCGCGUUUUAACACAAAACCACCGUUUAAAAGUCUAGAAUGACGACAUUGAUGCCAGCAAUACAACUUUCAACAACUGAGCUCUUGACUCUCGCAGCAAUGAAA
rnacentral:misc_RNA from 1 species